rnacentral:rRNA from 1 species
AGAGUUUGAUCAUGGCUCAGAUUGAACGCUGGCGGCAGGCCUAACACAUGCAAGUCGAACGGUAACAGGAAGAAGCUUGCUUCUUUGCUGACGAGUGGCGGACGGGUGAGUAAUGUCUGGGAAACUGCCUGAUGGAGGGGGAUAACUACUGGAAACGGUAGCUAAUACCGCAUAACGUCGCAAGACCAAAGAGGGGGACCUUCGGGCCUCUUGCCAUCGGAUGUGCCCAGAUGGGAUUAGCUUGUUGGUGGGGUAACGGCUCACCAAGGCGACGAUCCCUAGCUGGUCUGAGAGGAUGACCAGCCACACUGGAACUGAGACACGGUCCAGACUCCUACGGGAGGCAGCAGUGGGGAAUAUUGCACAAUGGGCGCAAGCCUGAUGCAGCCAUGCCGCGUGUAUGAAGAAGGCCUUCGGGUUGUAAAGUACUUUCAGCGGGGAGGAAGGGAGUAAAGUUAAUACCUUUGCUCAUUGACGUUACCCGCAGAAGAAGCACCGGCUAACUCCGUGCCAGCAGCCGCGGUAAUACGGAGGGUGCAAGCGUUAAUCGGAAUUACUGGGCGUAAAGCGCACGCAGGCGGUUUGUUAAGUCAGAUGUGAAAUCCCCGGGCUCAACCUGGGAACUGCAUCUGAUACUGGCAAGCUUGAGUCUCGUAGAGGGGGUAGAAUUCCAGGUGUAGCGGUGAAAUGCGUAGAGAUCUGGAGGAAUACCGGUGGCGAAGGCGGCCCCCUGGACGAAGACUGACGCUCAGGUGCGAAAGCGUGGGGAGCAAACAGGAUUAGAUACCCUGGUAGUCCACGCCGUAAACGAUGUCGACUUGGAGGUUGUGCCCUUGAGGCGUGGCUUCCGGAGCUAACGCGUUAAGUCGACCGCCUGGGGAGUACGGCCGCAAGGUUAAAACUCAAAUGAAUUGACGGAGGCCCGCACAAGCGGUGGAGCAUGUGGUUUAAUUCGAUGCAACGCGAAGAACCUUACCUGGUCUUGACAUCCACGGAAGUUUUCAGAGAUGAGAAUGUGCCUUCGGGAACCGUGAGACAGGUGCUGCAUGGCUGUCGUCAGCUCGUGUUGUGAAAUGUUGGGUUAAGUCCCGCAACGAGCGCAACCCUUAUCCUUUGUUGCCAGCGGUCCGGCCGGGAACUCAAAGGAGACUGCCAGUGAUAAACUGGAGGAAGGUGGGGAUGACGUCAAGUCAUCAUGGCCCUUACGACCAGGGCUACACACGUGCUACAAUGGCGCAUACAAAGAGAAGCGACCUCGCGAGAGCAAGCGGACCUCAUAAAGUGCGUCGUAGUCCGGAUUGGAGUCUGCAACUCGACUCCAUGAAGUCGGAAUCGCUAGUAAUCGUGGAUCAGAAUGCCACGGUGAAUACGUUCCCGGGCCUUGUACACACCGCCCGUCACACCAUGGGAGUGGGUUGCAAAAGAAGUAGGUAGCUUAACCUUCGGGAGGGCGCUUACCACUUUGUGAUUCAUGACUGGGGUGAAGUCGUAACAAGGUAACCGUAGGGGAACCUGCGGUUGGAUCACCU